UUUCCCAAUGAUGUAAUUUUCAUCUUACUCUGUUUUCAGCCACAGUUGCCUCCUGUUAGUAAGCUCAUUCAGAAGGGUGAUGAAAACUCUUACUGAGAA